rnacentral:rRNA from 1 species
UGGUGGAGUGAUUUGUCUGGUUUAUUCCGAUAACUAACGAGACCUCAGCCUGCUAAAUAGUUCUGCAAACAUUUCUGAUAUGGGGUGAAGGGUUGUUUUGUUGACUCUCUCGGUUUUAGGAUCGAGGAGCGACCGACUUGAAUCUUCUGAGAUGUUUAGUAAUUUCAUUAGGAACUUCUUAGAGGGACUAUUCUGUGUUUAACGAAUGGAAGUUUGAGGCAAUAACA